UCAUGCUUAAAGUAUAGGUUAUGACCUGAA
rnacentral:sRNA from 1 species